rnacentral:rRNA from 1 species
UACGUAGGGGGCUAGCGUUGUCCGGAAUCAUUGGGCGUAAAGAGCGUGUAGGCGGUCCGGUAAGUCCGCUGUGAAAGUCGGGGGCUCAACCCUCGAGUGCCGGUGGAUACUGUCGGGCUAGAGUGCGGAAGAGGCGAGUGGAAUUCCUGGUGUAGCGGUGAAAUGCGCAGAUAUCAGGAGGAACACCUAUUGCGAAGGCAGCUCGCUGGGACGUAACUGACGCUGAGACGCGAAAGCGUGGGGAGCAAACAGG